rnacentral:rRNA from 1 species
CGAAGGGACUAGCGUUGUUCGGAAUUACUGGGCGGUAAAGCGCACGUAGGCGGAUUUGUAAGUCAGGGGUGGAAAUCCCGGGGCUCAACCUCGGAACUGCCUUUGAUACUGCGAGUCUCGAGUCCGAUAGAGGUGGGUGGAAUUCCUAGUGUAGAGGUGAAAUUCGUAGAUAUUAGGAAGAACACCGGUGGCGAAGGCGGCCCACUGGAUCGGUACUGACGCUGAGGUGCGAAAGCGUGGGGAGCAAACAGGAUU